UACGUAGGGUGUGAGCGUUGUCCGGAUUUAUUGGGCGUAAAGAGCUUGUAGGCGGCUCGUCACGUCGGGUGUGAAAACUCGCGGCUCAACCGCGAGCCUGCACCCGAUACGGGCGGGCUAGAGUUCGGCAGGGGAGACUGGAAUUCCUGGUGUAGCGGUGGAAUGCGCAGAUAUCAGGAGGAACACCGGUGGCGAAGGCGGGUCUCUGGGCCGAUACUGACGCUGAGAAGCGAAAGCGUGGGGAGCGAACAGG
rnacentral:rRNA from 1 species